rnacentral:rRNA from 1 species
UACAGAGGUCUCAAGCGUUGUUCGGAUUCAUUGGGCGUAAAGGGUGCGUAGGUGGCGCGCUAAGUCAGGUGUGAAAUUUCGGAGCUUAACUCCGAAACUGCAUUUGAUACUGGCGUGCUUGAGGACUGGAGAGGAGACUGGAAUUCAUGGUGUAGCAGUGAAAUGCGUAGAGAUCAUGAGGAAGACCAGUGGCGAAGGCGGGUCUCUGGACAGUUCCUGACACUGAGGCACGAAGGUCAGGGGAGCAAACAGG